UUGAUAUUAAAACAACGAGAUACCUUGAGUGUUACUCUUGGCAAUGUACAAGAGUAUAAAGUGGUCACUGAUGAGGUUUUUUAAUACUCAGUGAGUGCAAAGGGUUUCUCUUUAGCCCGUGAAAAGUAGUGGAAAAGGGGCUCUCUUCGUUUGUGUGAAGUAGUGGAAGAGAUGGGUGCAAUUGUCAUACCCUCUUCCCUUUGCGAAGCAGUGGGGAUGAGAAAUAUGUUUUGCCCUAUAGUUUCAGUUUGUUGCUAAGCAUAGUGCUCGAUAUGCAAUUUAAGUAAGGUGGAGACUUUUAAAUGGGUUAGUGGUGCCAAAAGUUUGAUGGUGGUGGAAAUAUACAUAUGGUGAGUUUGACGUAGUGAUAUGGUAUCUCCUUCUCUAAGAAAUAUGAGUCGACCAAGGGGAGAGACUAUGGUUAUGUUUGGGUGCUCUCAAGAGAGAUUAGACCAACUCUUGAGGAACAGUAGCUAGAGGAAACCUAGAAGGGUGAUCUAAUCUUAGUGACCUAAGUUUAGUUUUAUGAUACAAAUUUGGCAGCAUAACAAUACUCAAUUUAAAGGUUUACGCAAGUGAGACACCUCUAUUUAUAGACUUAAGGUUUCUCCUUAUUGUGGAAGCAAAAACCUAAAAUCCUCAACUUGGCUAGCUUGGAGACUAAGGUAAAAAUCCUAUUCAUUAGGAAGAGGACAUGUGGCCACUGAAUAGGAAAAUCAUCUUCAUUCCUAGGAUGACACAUGGCCUCAACUUAUGGGAAAUCCUCUCCAUUGAUAGCAUGACACAUGGUAAGAGCAUGUGUCUUACAAAAGAGGACAAGUUUGAGACCACUCUAGCCAAGGACCCACAAGCUUCUAGAAAGUUUUCUCUCCAAGCUAGGUUUCUACCUUAGAUCUAUGUGUCUCCUUAGGGCCCAUCUCUUUUAGGCCCAAAGCCAUGCACUACAACCCAAGGUCUAAAUAUAAGGCCCAAAAGAAACCCUAGACUACUUGGCCCAUUAUACAAGGCCUUAAAUAAAUCAAAUCUACUAAAAACUCCCUAAUAACCCAUGAUGAUAAGAGCUUGGACCCAUCUUUUACAAAUGACUCCAACUUUUAUUGAGUGUGUUUGGCCAUAGCUAAUGGGUAUUCCAUCACUCCUCCUCCAAGCUAUACGACUCAAGCAAGGGGGAGAGGAUAUGGUGGUGUUUUAGGUGUUCUCAAGAGAGGGUUAGGUCACUCUUAAGGAAGGGUGGCUUAAGGAAACUUAGAAGGGGUGCUUUAGUCUUAACAACCUAAGUUGAGUAGUAUGUCAUAAAAAUUGAGGCAUGACUUUACUCAAAAUGCAAAGGUGAUUUUUAGAUGAGGGAGACAUCUAUUUAUAUGUUUGGGUAACUGAUAACUCUCCACUUUUUCCUUUUUUUUUCUAUUAUUUUAGAAAUCCUUUUUUGUUUUUAAUUUUCUAAAGUUAGGAUAAUUUUGAGUUUUUGUUUUAAAUCUUGAUUUUUAUAAAAAUAUUAUUAAUUGUGUGUUUUUAAUACUUAAAAAUGUCUUUAAAUAAAUUUCCUUUUGCUCUUUUAAAAAGAUAUUCAAAAUAAAUAUCUCUUUUUGCUUAAAUAGGUCUUCUUUUUCCUUAAUUAUUGUUUGGCCCUUCUUUCUUUCUCUCUUAUUACAUAAAAGCCCGUGGUCAAAGGGGUUGGAUUGGUCAAAAUAAGAGCUGGAAUCUGCCCCAAUACGAAACACUGCGUUUUGGGACCUGCAGCUUUAAUACAACGUACCGUUUUGGGAUUGCAAAGCUGCUAGAAGCUAAGGUUCAGAGAAAGGCUCGAGCAAAGGGGAUUUUUCCCGAAAUCGAAAACCCUUGGAGCUAGGGUUCAUAGAGGAGUGCGAAGAAUGUUCGCGAAGAUGCUAGGAGAGCUCGCGAUGGACUGGACCAGAGAGGUUGUUUCAAAAGCUUGGAGUUGAUCAAAGGGUGCGAGAAGAACUUAGGGUUCGUGAUUAAAAGAGGUGUGGCUCGAGAAGGGUGUGCACGAAUUGCUUAUUGGGUUCGAUCUUGCCCUUUUUCCCCUCUUCUCUUUAGUUUUUCUGUAAAACGAGAGUGAUAAAGAGUUUUUCUCUCGGUUAGUUUUAGUUUUUCUCUUGGUUCUUCUCGGUUAGUUUUAGUUUUUCUCUUGGUUCUUCUCGGUUAGUGUUGUUUCAAACACUCUCGGUUCUUUUUAGUUUGAGGGUGAUUAGUUGAUUAGUCUUAGUUAAUUUUAGUUCUAGUUAGUGUUAGUCUAGUUCUUGGAGUGAUUUUCGUUUUCUUCUUCGUUGGAGAUUGUUGAAGGCUACUCACAAGCAGUGACAAGUCGUGAGGCCUCCUUUGGUGAUUUCGGUAUCCUUUUUGUAAUUCGUUUGUUCAUACUAAUAAAAUUCUGAGUUCUUUUGAUUCCCUUGUCCAAUAUUUACAUUUCUGCUUAAUUCUUCCUUUUUCUUGCAAGAAUUUCAUUUUCCAACACUUGUUCUUAUUGUUUCUGCAUUCUGGCAUUGGAUUCUGCUUUUACUUUUAAUUCUUGUACCUUUCUUUUGUGUUUCCUGCUCUCAUUCUUUCCAUUUUGUUUUCUUUUCUGAGUUGGAUGAUUUCCCAUACCUUCGGAUUGAUUCUCUAGUUUUGUAAUUUGCUGGUUUUGAUUGUAUAAUAUGAUAAUAGUGAGUAAAGCAUAGGUAGUUAUUUCCACUCGCUCUUGAAAUAGGUUCUGAUGUUAAAUAUAGUUGAAGGCCCAAUUUUGAUUUAGAUAUGCACUGGUUGGUGGCAGGAGUGAGAAUUGCCAUUUUUAGUUUUUGAAAUAUGAAAUAAAAGACCCCAAAGUGGGUUUUACAAUUGCAAAAGAUCUUUUUGAAGAGUGAUUGAGACUCUUGCCUCAACCCAUUGCACAUUUAUUGUUGAAUUUCUCUUUGCCAAGGUUCUUUACAUGUUUCUUUACCUUAUUUGUUUCUGCUGUGAUAGUCUUGCUUGUUUCUACAAAUUGAAUGUUGAAUUGUGCACUUUAGUGGUUCCAUUAUGGAAUCCAAAUACCCCAAAGUGGAUUUAAUCACCAAGAUGUCUUCUUGAGACACACUCUUGUUCAAUGCACCAAGUAGGAAGAGAUUUUUACUCAGAAACUGUUUUUCUUUACACUUGCUAAUAUGUCACAUGAUUCUAGUUGUGGUUAUUUUCAUAGCCUUUCUUAGAUGCUGUAAAUUGAACGAUUCUUUUUUAGUUUAGCUAGUAUUAGGAUCUCUUCUUAUGAGUUUCUUUCUACAUUCAUUAGUCAAAUAAGUUAGGUUUUCAAUUUUGUUUUGCAGCCAUCUUUGUCUUCUGGCAUUACAUUCACAAAUUCCAACAGUGCAUCUGUAUUCCUUCCUGGUCCUUAAGCACAUUACAUUCACUUGUGCAUGGUAUCACGUUUUGGUUGUCAUAUUUCACAUUGCUGCAUUAUUUAGAGUUGUUAGGACAAAUUUCUGUUGCAUCCUUUAGCAUUGCUAGGUUCAUUGUCCCUUGCAUUUUCCAUUUUGAUUUGUAGUCAUUAGGUUAGAAUAACACCUUGCAUUUAGCAUCUUUCCAGGUUCUGAAUCUGUUUUUCUAGUUUUCUGCUUGAUUCCUCUUAUUAUCAUGUCUAUCAUAUUCUAAAAUAUCAAUUCGUUUUUAUUCUGCACCUUUCUUGACUGAAGUUUUUGCAUCAUACCUUGCAUAUUGUUCCAUCUCUGUAUUGUGUCCAUUCCUUAAGUGCAUCAACAUUUAAAUUCCAUUUCUAUGCAUACUCAUUAACAUCUAAAUAGCCGGUUAGGUUCUGGAAUUGCUUUCUGUACAUUAACCAUUGAUAGGCAUCAAUUUCAGUAGUCUCUAGGAUUAAUUGCAUUACAUUGCAUGCUUCCUUUUGCAUUUGUAUCUGUUAUUUCAAUUUCUUGCUUUACAUAUCAUUCUUUGUUGUUUUUUCUUUUCAAGCAUUUAGUUGAUAUUACUUGUUCUUUGCAUUGACUAAAUAGGGUUCUGAUAUUAGGUUAUGCUGUUGAUUCGCAUAAGUAACGAUGUUCAUCAAUCUAGGUUCUUGUAUCUGCUUUAAUGCAUCAUUCUAGGUUAGGUGUCAUGUAUUACUUACAUUUGAACAUUCAAGAAACCAUGAAUACAUUCCAAUUCCAAAUCUCUUUCUGAUUAAGGAAAUUCAUUCAUUCAUUCAUUAAUGCAUCUCCAAAGCAUUUCCCACAUCUGAAUUUGACAUUUCUCUUCCUUUGUUUACAUCAUUAUGCAUCAUUCAUGCAUCAUCUAGCUUGAGUUAGAUAGACAUGCAUUUGUAAUUAGCUUUCAUUUCUUUUAAAACUUCAGCUUUCUUUUCUUGCCCACCUUACCUUGUUUUCAAUUUUAAUUCCAUAGGAUCAACUUUACAUUUCUAAUACUUAACAUGCAUUGAGUCCUAGGGUUAGUCCUUGGUUACCACUAGCCUACAUUAGUGGGAACUGAGUUUUGUUGACUUUUAGUGCAACCUAAAAGCUUAUUCCUUGAUAUAAUGGAUUAUUCCUAAAACACACCCAUGUACAAAAAGACGCUAUGAUAAUCGAUUAUGACUGAUAAUAAUUGAUUAUCUUAGUGUUUCUACUCAGCAAAUAACCAAAAUUCAUUAUGCAUAAAGGGAUAAUCGAUUAUCAUCUUAGAUAAUUGAUUAUUCCUCUCAUAAUCAAUGCAAAGAUAAUUGAUCAGUACUGCAUCUAGUUAUCACCACACCCUUAAAACAUAUAUUUGUAUGGAAACACCCAAACAUUGUAACUUUGUUUUCCCUUAGCAUUAAAGCCUCUAAUAAGAUAACCCAACAAAACAUCCAUAAUACAUUCAUAGGAAAAACCUAUCACAAAAAUUACCAAAAACUUAUUUCUACACACACAAAUAAUCAAAAUCAUAUAAACAUAUAUCAAACUAGAAUCUUCAUGCAAGUCAAGAAUACAUAGCAUACAACAACAAAGGUAAGUUUUUCAUACCUUGGUUAAUACUAUGAAUUUAUAUAUACUCCAAAAACACCACAAAUCCUCCCUUUGCACAAAGAUUUUUUACGCUUCUUCCUCUUUUCUCCUAGAAAACGUCUCUUCUUUUUCUCAACUCUCUCAAUUUCGUUUUUAGUAUUAGGCUAACAAUGUGAAACCCUUUUCUCUCUUUUCCUUUUUAUAUUUUUCUAUUCUAUCUCUAUCUUUUUGAUUAAAAUAAUAUUUCUCACUUAAUUUAUAAAACAACCAAGAUAUCUUUUCUUAUUUUCUCUUAAGCACUUUUUAAAAUAUAUCAAUAACUAACUCUUACAAAAAGAUUCACAUAGUCUUUUAACUAUCAUAUUUUGAUUUUAUUCUUUUCUUUUCCACAAUCCCUUAUAUUAAUUUGUAAAUCAAUUAAUAAAGGUAAAAGGCUAUUUUGCUCUGGGGCCAAAAAUACAAUUAAAAAUCUAAGUUUCUUUUAAACUCUUCUCCCAAGGAAUUUAACCCACAUCUAUUUCAUCCUAGAGAAUACUUCUACUAACAAACCAACACAUCACAUUGAAAUCAUAAACACACAAAUCAUCAAAUUAAUAACAUACCAAUCAUGUGUUGCAUAUUAAUAAUAACAUCAAAUAAUUAUCAUGGCAAUUACCAUUCUAAGAAACAUCUAGACAUUAAACUCAAUUAUCAAACAAUAACCCUUAAGUCUCAUAAUCAGGUUAUUUUCUAUUACCAUAAUUUUCUCAAGUCUUAUAACUAUGGGAUACCACAUUUUCUGAUUGUACUACUCUUAGAUGUUUCUUCCUAGCUUAGGAUGAGGAUCCACCUCCGACGAACCCUUUAGAUUUGGUGUUGAUUGUGCCCCUCAAAGGAGGCCAAGGAUCAAAAUUCUUGUCCUUGCAUGGGUGGACUUGUCUCACAUCUCUUCUUUCUCCCUAUGCUUUUUACCAUCUCUUCGGUCAUCAAACCUUCGAUAUCUAAAGUGUGAAGUCCCUUUGUCGUCACAUCUUACAAAUCUCUUCAAGUGUUCGACUAACUCUUCGACUUUAUCUAGGGUAGAACACUUGUCUAUUAUGUGACCAUUGUUGUAGUGAUACCUGUAGUACUUGGUUAUAUUGCUACUUAGCAUGUUUUGGGACUUUUUAGGUGAUGUAUGCCUAUAACUCUUCUUGCAACGUCGUGAUCAUGUAGUGGAGAACCACGUCAAGGUUUAGGUUUCUAAUCCUUAUGGCUAUUUUGUUUAACCUUUCAAUAUAGGUUCUUAGGGAUUCACCUUUCUCUUGCCUAAUGUUGAAGAGUGCGAGAGAGAGGUGAGAUUAAGAUGAUAGCAUGUGGCGAGCAAGGUUGUGAAGGACAACCCCAACAUGUCAAAGCACUCAAUGGAAUAAGUGGGAAGAUUAAUGAACCAUUCCAAGGUUGCCCCCUUAAGAAUGGUAGUGAAGGCUUUGCACAUGACUACAUCAUUAGUUGAGUACAAUCUGACUUGAGUGGUGUAAAUGGUCACAUGUUCAUCUAUGUUGGUGCUUGGUCUAAAGUAAAAGCCUUCCACUACUUAGGAAGGCAGGUGUCAGUGAUGUUGACUAUGAAAGGUUGUCGACGAUUUCCUCUCAUUACUAAGGAGUGGUGUGUCUUGGGAGUGGGGUUGUACUCAAUCUUAUCUACAUUUUCAUGGAUAGCAAUAACAAAAGGAGUUUUUUGCACUAAAACUGCGUUAUCAACAAUUUGCUUCUUCUUUUCCUUGUCGAUCAUGACCUCAGCGUCUAACCUCCUUUUUAACCUUUCAUUCUCCUCUCUUAAGGCAUCAAUUUCUUCAACACUUAUCUUAUUAAACUCAGCGAAUCCUUGUUGCAUAUAUACCUAAGCUUCUAGGAUAACAACUAUGUUAGUUGAGGAGGGGUUUUGCUUCUCUCUCUCCAACCACUCUACUCCUUGUGAACACCAUAAUGCUUGUUUCCUUCACAAAACUAAUAGUUUCUUGACAAAAUACUAAUCGGGCCAUGAUGGGUGAAAAUUGUUCUUACAUGACUGAUGACGUAUCUUGAACGACUUCAAUAACUCCACAAACAUCACAAACUAAUAAUCGUCAAAGUGUUCAUUCUCCUCCUUAGUAAUCGUACUCCAUAACAUGAAUGGGGUUGUUCUUGUAGAAGAUACUUCAAUGCUCAAGUCAACCUCUCACGUCAAUAAAGUAAUAAAUGUAUAGUUAAUAAGAAUGUAAAUAAAAUACCAUAAUGAUUAUGCUAUUUGUAAUAUUCUUUAUGAUAUUUGUGGGUGUCGCAACCGGAAUAACGACGGGACGAUGAUCCAAAAAAGAAACGAGUUUCGAAAAAGAGAUUUUGGAGUCGCCACCAUAGUUUAUUCUGGAAAACUACGGAAAAACCAUAAAAAGAUAAGACAAUGUCCACGAAAACCAGAUUCUGGGUUCCGGAGUCGGUUACGUGUAGGGAAGGUGUUAGCACCCCUUAACGCCUGCCUUAAAGCAGUACCUUUAAUUAAAUGCACGAACUUGAUGUGGUUAAAAAAUGUUUAAUUAUCCCCAAAAAUAAAAUUCUAAAGAAACAAGAAAUAUUUUUUUAUUUUAGGUUAAAACCAUUUAGGUGUCCCUAUUUUUGUAAGGUAUUCCCAAUUUGGUCCCCUUCUUUUAAACCUUCCCAAUUGAGUCCUUAUAAGUGUUAAUUUGAAACAAAUUAGUCCCUGCCGUUAAAAAUUGUUAACGGUGUUGAAAUUGUGCAGAGGUGAGUAGAUGACGUGGUUAAAAUUCUCCUUUUAAAGUGUUAAAAUUGUGCUGAGGUGUUAAAAUUGUGCAGAGGAGAAUGGGAAAAAUUUGAACAUCUCUGCACAAUUUUUACACCUUUGCAGAAUUUUAACACCUCAAAAGGAGAAUUUUAAGCACGUCAUCUACCCAUCUCUGCACAAUUUUAACACCGCUAACGGUUUUUAAUGGCAGUGGCUAAUUUGUUUAAAAUUAGCACUUAUAAGGACUCAAUUGGGAAGGUUUAGAAGAAGGGGACCAAAUUGGGAAUACCUUACGAAAAUAGGGACGCCUAAAUUGUUUUAACCUUUAUUUUAUUAUGCCCGACAAGGAUUGACCUUGCUCCUAUGUAUUCUCAUUCAGAAUGAGAAAUCAGGGUUACGUAGUUCUCGCAAACCGUUUGGAAAAUUUGUUUGGAGAAUUGUUUGUUUAUAAAUGAAGAUAUUUUUAGUUUUUGAAGACUUUAUAUUUUUUGGUGUUUUUUAUAAAAGAAAGAGAAAAAGUUUUUUUAGCACAAGGCCUAUGCGAACGGUCGCACGUGUGCUUUAACCUUUAAAAACAUAUCUUUGUUAUUUUUGUAAAAGAAAGGAAAAAGGCUUUUAGCACAAGGCCUACGCGAACGGUCGCACAUGUGCUAUAAACCUUUAAAAACAUAUCUUUGUUGUUUUUGUAAAGGAAAGGAAGAAGGCUUUUAGCACAAGGCCUACACGAACGGUCGUACGUGUGUUAUAACCUUUUAAAACAUAUUUUUGUUGAUUUUUUGAAAGAAGAAGAAAAAAAAAGUUUUUAGCACAAGGUAGACAGAAUGGUGCACAUGUGGUUAAACCUUUUAAAAUAAUUUUUUGUUGAUUUUUUAAAAGAAGAAGAAAAAAAAAAGAUUUUUAGCACAAGGCAUACAGAAUGGUCGCACGUGUGCUUAAACCUUUUAAAAUAAGUUUUUGUUGAUUUUUUGAAAGAAGAAGAAAAAGGUUUUUAGCACAAGGCCGACAGAAUGGUUGCACGUGCGCUUAAACCUUUUAAAAUAAAUUUUGUUGUUUUUGAUAUUUAUUUAAAAGUAGAUAAAGUAAAAUAAAUAACAAGUAGAAAAAUGGAAAUAAAUUAAGUAGGUAAAUUACUAAAUAAAAAUAAAGAGUAAAAAUAAAAAUAAAAUGAAAAGUUUAAUGAUGAAAUAAAAUAAAAAGUGUAGUGGUGUUUAGAUAAAAGAAGGGGUGUCCAAACUAUUUUAUAAACAGAUUGGGCUAGAGCCCAAGUAAAAAGAGGUGUGAAAAAAAUGAAGAAUAAGGGUGCCUAAACUUUUCUUCUUUUAGAAAACGAACUGGGUCUAAGCCCAAGCAGAGAGGGGGUGGUGAAAAGGAAAAUAAGGGGUGCAAAAACAGAACUAACAUAAUAAUAAUAAUAAUAAUAAUUUAAAAGAAAAUAAAAUAAAAAACAAACAGGCCCAACACGGCCUCAACCCAACUCAAGUUUCAGAAACCCCUUAGGGGUUCUCUCAGAUCCCCUUUCUUUCCUCACACUUCCUCUCAUCAGAGACUUAGGGUCUUUCUCGCGAAAGGCAAUCCUAGGGAUGGGUUUUCCGCGACUGCACGUCCACUUCAACAGCCACUGCCACCGACAAACCGCCGAACGUCUUCCCAUGAAGCCAUUGCCACUCACAAAUCGUUGGAAGUUCCCUGCCAGAAGCCACCACCGGCGACAAUGCCCUCAUUUCCUCUCGCGCGCGAGAAGCUCUUUCGCUCCUCCAUCAAUCAUCGCCUUCGCGAGCACAGCCGUCUCGAACCAGGGCACCACCAGUCACGACCAAGGCCGUUGACGAUCACCACGUCAUCCUCCUCUACCGCCUGACCAAAUCCACCUCUACCCCCAAAUUGUCAAAGCCGCCACCGAAAACGCUUCUUUCAUUGUUUAAUUAUUAGAACACAACCACAGAGAGGCUUGCCAAGACAAUGUUUGGGAUUCAAUGUGAUGGGUGCUCUGUUAUGGUAGGGUGCGUGUGUGUGUUUUGACUUGUGUGAGUAACAACUAUUCUCUGUUUUCUUCUUUUUGCGUAGGACCGUGAAUGGUUUCUGGAAGCAAUGAUGAUGAUGUAAAUUNUGAAAACUGGUUGGCUUUAGUGAAGGUUGCUGGAAAUUGNUUUGUUCUUGAUGGUUGGUUUUUUCUUUUUGUUGCUUUGUGCAGUGCAGGUUGANGAUGAUAGUGUGGGUCAGACACAGUGAUUGUUGAGCUAGAUGUUGGAGUAUAGGCGGGAAGGAGAAUGGNUGCCCAGGCCGAGAGAAGCAAGACGAAGGCUAUGGUGAUGGCCUCGUGAACAANUCGUGGAGAUUUGGUUCUCUUUCUUUCUUUGGAAAUGAGAAGAAUCAAGGUUUUGGAGGAACUCUCUAUGGAUGAAAAUUGUAUAAAAACCUAUUCUGAUUUGAGAAAUUUAAAGAGGAAACCAUGCUUUAAUCUUUGGUUGUGAUCCUAUAAUGUUUUCUGAGUGCUGGCUUUGAAGUAGGGAAGUAGGAAAGCAUUUUUUACAGUUUCUGGGCUAGGUGUACUCAUGGAAAAGGGAUGGAGAUACGUUGGUGAUAGGAACAUUAAGCAGUCAAUGCAGCAAAAAGAACAACAAUACAAAUGCAACCAUAUUGAGUACGUGAAUACUAACACACAGCCAUCAUAACAAGUAGAUGAUUCAUACUCAAAAUUAAUAGACUAACUAAACAUGGGAUAGAAAACUUACCUGAAGGGACUGAUUCGUCUUUCUUUCUUCUGGUGAACUCUCCCCUUCUGGCUGGUGCCCUCUGUUUUUCUCUGCAGGUGGAACGAAGAUAUGCUCCUCAGGAAAGGAUGAUCCUCCUCUCAGUAGUGUGCUCUUUCUUAAGCUAUGAUGAUCAGUGUUAAUGAGGUGCAUUCUGUUGAGUAGAGAGUGUAAAUCCUGAAGUUGAGAGUAGUGUUCUCUAGGGCGUGGUCUGUGUGUUCUUGUGACUGUCCCUACUGGAUUGUAAUGUAGCCAAUUCCCCCUGCCUCUUGGAUCAUCCAGGCGUAUCCUCUGACUUGAGAUUUCUUUUUCGUCUUUUUUCUUUUCUCGUGUACUCAUUGUAUCAAUUGACCAAAGAAGUAUUCAAAAUCUUCCCUCUUUAAUGAAUGUAUGCAACUCUGCGUAGGGAUUUUAGCAAGAUGAGCCUAAACUUUCCACACUGCCAAUGCAUACAUACAUUUUGAACAUUGCUUUUGUGCAGGAUGGUAAGCAUGGUGGUCUGACGCUUUGUGUUGCAGGGAGGGGCAGUUAGUUGACCUUUGUGAUUUUUGUUUUUUUCGUUUUUUUUUUUCGAUUCUUCUUUUUCCUUUUUUUUCUUUUCUCAUAAAAUCUAAAGUAAAGAUAAAAAAAUAACAAAAAGAAAAUUAACGCAAAAUAAAACAAAUAACUCUAAAUAACAAAAAAGUAAAAUAAAAAGUAAAAAUAGAAUUAAAAUAAAAAACUAAUAUAAAAAUGAAAUCAAAUAAAGAUAAAUAAGUAAAAUAAAAUAAAAAAAUAAAAAUUAGGUAAUAUAACAAAAACAAAAUGAUAAAAAGAAAC
rnacentral:lncRNA from 1 species